UGGGGUCAUGCCCAGUGGUAGAGCACUCACCUCCCACGUGAGAGACCCUGGGUUCGAUCCUCAGCACCACAU
rnacentral:tRNA from 1 species